AAUGGAAUUGGAGUCUAAA
rnacentral:miRNA from 1 species